GACGUAGGGGGCCAGCGUUGUUCGGAAUUACUGGGUGUAAAGGGUCAGUAGGCGGUGUGGCAAGUCGGGAGUGAAAUCUCUGGGCUCAACUCAGAGGCUGCUUCCGAAACUGCCGUGCUUGAGUGUGGGAGAGGCGCGUGGAAUUGCAGGUGUAGCGGUGAAAUGCGUAGAUAUCUGCAGGAACACCCGUGGCGAAAGCGGCGCGCUGGACCACAACUGACGCUGAAUGACGAAAGCUAGGGGAGCAAACAGG
rnacentral:rRNA from 1 species